rnacentral:lncRNA from 1 species
CCUAUAGUAUUACAAUAGGUGGGUAGUAAAGCCAGCUUAAUUGGAAACAUAUCUGUAGAUCUCUAUUGUAAACUAUUAAAAAACCAUUAAGUACUUUACGUGUAUUGUGUAAAUUUUCACCAUAUUUUUGUAUUUUGUAAUACUGUCAACUAUGAUAAGUUUGAAUUUAAAUUUGGGGCUCUUUUUUUGGAUCACCCAGAAUAAUGUGUUUCCCUCUAGCUGGCCAGUAUGAGUAGAGUCCCUAUAUUUUUACUUGCACUACAAAUACAUGUUUAUAUGAUAUUUGCUAUACAUGUGCUUUGUAUAUUGUUCAGCAUUAUGACAUAAGCUACCUGACUCCACUUGUCAAGAAUUAGAUUCAAGUUCAUUGGUUUUUCCUUUUUUUAAUUUUUUUAAUUUUAAUUUUUUUUAUCCAUGGAUAUUGAGACAACAUGACCUAGUGGAUAGACUUCUGCCCCUGGAAUCAGGGUUCAAAUUCAGCCUUUAUAAAUUUUAGCAAGAUGGCACUAGGUGAGUCCUUGAGCCACCAGGUGCCUGAGGCAACUUUCUUGAACUCAUGGAUAGGUUAUUGUCUGCACUGGUGAAGAGAGUUUCCUAUAAGAGCAGUUCCCCAUGUUGACUAAAAUCACAGAACUUUGUGUCUCCAUGGUUACAGCUGCAAAUUACUAAGUAGUUCAGAAUCUUAAAAGCUUACCCCACAGUCUUUUAGGAGAUUUAGGAGAUUUACAAAGAGCUUUAAACAAAUAGAUAUGGUUAGGGCGAAAUGUUUUCCUUAAAGGACUUAAGGAUCUAAUUGAAAUUGAUGGCUGAAUAAAAGGGUAUCUCUAACUUGAUUACAUCAAUAUUUUCACAUAUUCCACUUAUUGUAUUGUUUGCAUAAUGGGUAGACAGCUCCUAGGAAAUAUCAUGGACUUUAAUUGGAUUUUGAGUUUUCAGGGGAAAAUAAAUUUGAAAUAUACUUUUCCUUUCUUUUUAAUUUUUUUAAAAGAAAAAUAAAAACUAGAUCAGCAUAGAAAUAACUAGUUUGGUUUAUUUUUUAUCAAAGUGAAUGGUUGUUCCAGAUGUUCUUUGUAUAUUCCAAGAGAAGGUAAAUUCUUCUUUAUCUACAAAUGAAGCCCGCUGGAACGAGAGUCAUCUCUUCCCUAGGUUUGGAUUGUGUUGGCUCACAUUAACAUAGGUGGCUAGGCCCCUUAGACAAAACACCUGUAUCUGCAUCUCUAAAUGUCCCAAGCAUUGUUCCAUGGCAGUGGAUUGAUAAAGAAACACUGAAAUAAAACCUUGGAGACAUUAUGAAAGUGGCAAAUAUCAAAAGGAAAGUCUUUUAAUUUUGUUUCCUCUUAUCAAUUUUCUUAUCUUUACGUUUAAAAUGAAGACAUUGCUUGAAAAGUUUGAAAUAUAGUAAUGCAUAGAAAUAGGAUGCCAUGAUGAUAAACCUGUGCUUGAUGUGUGCUUAAUGCAGCCCAAUGCCAGAUUUGAGUAAUUUUUUUUUCAUUUUCCUUUUAAUUCUUUGUAAUGAGCUUUUAUUUCUGUAGGUAUUUUCUCUCCAAAUAGAUGAAGUUUUGUUUUGUUUUGUUUUCUUUCUUCAUGGAUGCACUGAUAAUAUUUUAAAUGCUCUAUUUUAAUUCUCCAGAAUCUUUUCAUUUGGGGCUUCUGUUAGGCAUUUAUUCCCUUUAGCAAAUAUGAAUAUAGAAUGGUGGGAGGGGAACAGGGAAAAUGUUAACAUCAUGGGUGGGUUAGGGCAGCAUUUUCUGUGUGUUAAGCAGCAAUACAAUUGUAUGGCUGGCAUGUUUUUUUUUUUUUUUUAAAUGAAACAUAAGAACAGCUGUUUUGUAUUUUGGUGACUGAUUACUCUGUAUAUUAUCACAUUGUAUGACUGUUUUGUGGUGCUCUAGUGGUAAAUAAAUUAUUUCAAUUGUACAUGUAUGUGGCUUUCCUAUGACAGCAUAGAAAACACCUUCUGUAUCAUGAAUCCUAUUCUCAGAUGGGAGGGGUUAUAAGACAUUUACAACUUUUUUUUUUUUAAUUUGUGUGAAAUUGUUUGAAUUUGUUGUAUAACUCAGCUAAGAAAUGAUGUUCCAGGCUUAGCCAGGUACACUUACAGUCUUUGGGGUCAGAAGAUCUUAGAUCAGAUCACAGUUUUGCAAUUCACUAUUUUUAUGGCUUUUGGGUAAGCCCCCUCAUCUCUGGGCUUCAGUUUCCUCAUGUCAAUAUUGAAAAGUCAAUAUUACAUGAUCUCUAAGGUUUCUUCUAGUUCUCAAUAUUAUGAACUUGCUAAUAAUAAUUAUAGGUAGGAUUUAUAUAGUGCUUUAAAGUUUGCAGUGCUGUAUAUUCUCAUACUUUAGGAAUAUAUUACUUCUGACAAGAAACAUUCUUUUCCCUUAUUCACAAAAUCCAAACAAUUUUUACUGGUAGAAAGAAAAAAACAAUGACUUAUUCAGAGGGACAGUCUGUAUAACUAUUUUAAGACUGUAGAAGACAUUAUUCAUUUGCUCCUGAAAUAUGUGGGAUUCCCCUUUUCCCCCUAAAAUUGUUUUUGGCCACAAUGCUUAGUGGUUGAGAGUAGACACAGCUUUUCUAUAUAGUGGUAAACCACAUUCCAUUCUUCAUGUCAUGUUUAUUUCUUCCAAAGAUUCCCAAUGUCGUAUUUGUAAUUCCAGCAGAAUGAACACUAGACACAUCAAAAAUUGUGAUCAAUUUCAUUCUCUUGUGGGUCCUCACCUUAUCUUAAAAAAACAAAAAAAACAAACAAAAACAUAAAGGUUAUAUAUGUAUGU